AACGAACGCUGGCGGCAGGCCUAACACAUGCAAGUCGAGCGAGGACUUCGGUCCUAGCGGCGGACGGGUGAGUAACGCGUGGGAACGUGCCCUUUGCUUCGGAAUAGCCCUGGGAAACUGGGAGUAAUACCGGAUGAGCCCUUUGGGGGAAAGAUUUAUCGGCGAAGGAUCGGCCCGCGUUGGAUUAGGUAGUUGGUGGGGUAAUGGCCUUCCAAGCCGACGAUCCAUAGCUGGUUUGAGAGGAUGAUCAGCCACACUGGGACUGAGACACGGCCCAGACUCCUACGGGAGGCAGCAGUGGGGAAUCUUAGACAAGGGGGGAAACCCUGAUCUAGCCAUGCCGCGUGAGCGAUGAAGGCCUUAGGGUUGUAAAGCUCUUUCAGCUGGGAAGAUAAUGACGGUACCAGCAGAAGAAGCCCCGGCUAACUCCGUG
rnacentral:rRNA from 1 species